CAUCCUGACCCAGCCAGAGGACCUCUGUCUUCGAAGGAUUUAGUUUCAAUCAGCUCCCACGAAACCAUCCAGCCACAGCUUCCAAGCAUCUGGUCAGUGUGUCUGGGGCCGAGUCAGUGUGGCCAUCCAUCAGCAGAUAGAGCUGAGUGUCAUCAGCAUAUUGGUUACUACAAACCAUACAGCAGGGAUAGCCAGAUGCUGGGGGAGGGCUAUAGCUUAAUGAUAGAGCAUCUUCUUUGCAUACAGAAGAUCUCAGGUUCAAUCUCUGGUAUCUCCAGGUACAGCUGGUAGAAAACCCAGUCAGAAAUCCUGGAGAACCAUUGCUAGUCAGACAACAGUGAGCUAGAUUGACCCAUGGUCUGACCAGUUAGGCACUUUGCCAUGCUCCUAUGCUGUUGGACUUCAAAUCCCAUCAGUUCCAGCAAGAAUGGCAAUGGUGAUGAUGGGAGCUGUAAGCCUGUCUCCUAAAGGUUUCAGGCUUAUAGGAUCUAUUCCCCCCCCUUUUCUUUAAGAGAAGUCAAGAUUCAGGGUUCUACUGAAGUUCUACAAUGCCAAGGAAGCAAGUACGCAGGCAGCCACCAAGAAUUGAAAUGCUGUGUCUUUCCAAACCAAGAUCAUUAUCGUGCAACUUCCACAAAGAUUUUGCCAGCCAGCUCAAUAAAUGCAGAGAGCUUUAUCUCCCUGCUCUGGUAAAAUUCAGACUGCUGCUUGGUGCAUGUACUUGCAGGCAGAAAACUGGCUAAGCAGCUUUCGGGCCCCAAGCAGGCAGGUAAGUGAGCAAGUGAUGUGGGCGGGGGAGCUGCUCCCCGGGGAGUUGCUGCGGAAGGAGCCAUGUUUGAAAGACGGUGAGGUGCUUCGGAGAACUGUUUGGUAAACCACACUCUGAGGUGCCUCCCCACUCCACAAAUGUUGCUGGAGUAGCAUUUAAUGGAGUGUGGGAAGCACUGCAGAGAGCAGUUUGACAACCUGCUCUCUGAAGCGCCCUUCUCCAUUGAGCAUUACUGGAGUGGAACAUGCUUUGGUAAACCACUCUCAAAAACAUCUCCUCCUCCAUUAAAUAAGUCAUAAGCUGUGAGAGGAUGAGGCAUGAGGGAAGCUGUAGGGGCUGGGAUGAGAUGGACAAGGGAGGGGGGCUUUGGUGAACUUGGCAGAGGAGAGGUUUGGGGAGAGUGAGUUUGGGGAGUGAGUUUGAGGGGAGUGAGUUUGGUCAUGUGGGGAGGUAGGGGGGCAGGGAUGGGGAAAGGGGAUUGGUAAGGGAUGGUGGAGUUGGUUGGUAAGAGAAACAAGCAGGGAUGGCAGCUCCUAGUAGUUUAAUAAUUUUAUGUGUGUAUACUGCCCUGUAGUUAUUUAGGACAAAGAAUGUUAUAGAAAUAUAUUGAAUGAGUGACUGAAAUAAAAAGCAUGCCUCUGUACAUCCAUGCUGUCUGAAUCUGACACAAUAGUGUCCUAGAUUGAUCUCAGUGUAAUAAAUAUGUAUACAUGCCCAGGGGUGAACAGUAGUUCUCCAAAGGAAGUGGUCACUUUUGAAUCUCAAGCUCCCCUGUUUUUAAAGGGCUUGUUGGCAACAGCUCAAAGCAAUUUGUUUCAGCACAACAAAUCUAUUGGACACUGUGCCCUGAAGUAACCGGGCAAUCUCUUUUCACACACAGGAACUUCUUAAGCACUGUGAACUUAGCUCCCUCUGUUUAGCGUUACUGAUCCGUUAGUCUAAACAUGGUACAAGGCAGUUUAAUGGGAAUCAUUUCCAGUAAGAGAGGAUGUUUCCUCAGCAGUUUUCAAGUUGGCUCUGACUCAGGCAUUCUCAGGGGACCUUAUUUAACUGAUCAUUAGGGAGACAGCAAAAAGGCAUUGAGGAAUUUCAUAACAAAGACGAGUAUCCUAUAAAAGACCUCCUGAGAAUCCUCCUGGCCAUGGACUCUCGGCAUGCUUGAGGGAUUUUAUUAAUGCUGCUGAAAAAGUAGUACUGUAGCCAAUCUAUUAUUUGUGCAUAAUUUUAAAGAUGCUUUAUUGUACUUGUUCCAGCAAUAUGAUGAACUGCUGUGCUUGUAAAAAGCUGCAUUCAAACAAACCAUAAUGAAACGUUCAGAGCCGAUUAACACCCUUUAUUGGAACUUGCUAAUCGAUGCAGAAAGGGCUGUAAGUUGCUAAAUGGCUGACAGUCAGAAUUAUCCUAAUUUUUCUAGACACAUAUUUCUCAUGGGCUAAUAUAUGCAAAACAACUGUUGAGAUGCUAUGGAGGUUGUGAACUAGCUUCAUUAAAAAACAACAGCAACCCACAGCACUCAAAGGACCCUGAUGAAAUUGUACCCUGGUGCAAUUGUACCAUUAACCCUCUGCACAAUGCUUUUCAUGGGCAACCUGUGCAUUUCCAGUGAGCACAAACCUAACCCAUAAGUCAUGCCACCUAAUGGUUCACUGAUGAUGUUCAUGACCUGAGCUGCCAGUAAUUCUUCCAGUUGUGCAUAUAUAUGUGUGUCCGUAUUCCAUGCACAUGUAUGUUUUCCCUAAAAGAGCAAAGAACAGCCUGAAGGGUAAUUUUCAUCAGGAAAAAUGGCACAGGGCAAAUGUGCCAUUCACCCUCCCAUAACCACUGUUUGUAAAAACAUGAGCAAAAAUGUGUUUCCACAACUCCAUCAUCAUGCCUAGCUUGGCCUCUAGUUUUUUGUUCAAAGGUCAUCAAAAUGUGUACACUACCCUGCAGUUAUUUAGGACAUACUUUAGGGAGAGCUGGGCCUAUUUCUCAGUCUUUUCUCCUGCUCACCUUCCUAGAAGAACAACUUCACAGAUUUUCUCUCUCUGAAUAUUUUCACCAAUUUAUUUUUUUAUUUUGCCUGGUAAUAACGGUAGGCCCAGUGCAUUGUGGAGAAUACAAAAUGGUGGCCAGUCUGCCAACACUUGCAGCAGUGGUAGAAGGAAAAGAUUUAGUCAAAAAGAAAGAAACCACACAGCUGCCACUACUAAAGGUAACCCACAGUUAAGGUAGAGAAUUGCAAGAGGACAUUUGCACAAAUUUCUAAUUUUAAGUGUUUUGCAGCAGGCCUCUAGACUGCAGUUAUUUGCUCACUUACCUGAAAGUAAGCCCCAUUGAACACAAUAGGACUUACUUCUGUGUAAACAAGCAGAGGAUUGCAUUUUUGGCUGGCUGGCUGAUCUACCUUCUUGUCGCUUCUAAGUUUUGAGGUAGCAGUGAUGAGCUUUUCGCCUGUGCCUCCACCACACAUACUUAUGAAAUAUGAUCUUUAUGAUGAUGAGAAAGUCUACUGCUGCCAACGGUAGAAGCAUAUCUUUGCAAACCUUCCUUGAAAACCACAGAUGUUUGGCACAAGUUGCUUGGGCCUGCUGGGGCUUCAGGAAUCAGGGUUUUACAUUUUAUGUCACUCGCACUGUUUGAAUGAACAGUGAGAGCUGACAAGCCGGGAACUUCCAGACAGAUAACAGUCUAGUAACAUACCAAGCAAUACUGAUGAAAAUGAAGAUAUGGAAUGGCAACUAUAUAAAGGAGGUGGCUGCCUUAGAGCACAGCUACACUCUAGCAAGAACAAGCAUUUAUUCUUUUGAGAACAGGACAAGUUGUUUCACACAAGAAGAGGCAGAAUCAUAGCUGCUGCUAAUUUGCACUGAGAAUUUUCAAACUCAUGUAUUCACAAAGAUGAGACCUCAGGAAUAUUUGAUAUCCCUUUUUUGAAAUUAGGUAGGAGUGCAGACACGAUCUGUUCAAUCUAGGAAAGGAUGUGGAGAUAACCACAGUUUUACCAUAUGUGGUUGAAAUGUGCUGGGAUUUCUGGGGAAAGAUACUUGAAGAAAUAAACGUAAUUGUCAGAAACUGAUAGAUCCUUGCAACUGCAUUGCUUGGUAAAAAAUGAAAAAUCACACAUGGACCUUACAUAGUAAAACACUGAAAGAUAACCUUCCCUGCGAAAUAGUACCAUAAUGUGAUGAUCCUCUUGAUUCAAUUUCUUGAACAAAAUCUCUCAUUAAAUGAAGUUUGGCAUCCCAUGACUAGGGAUGGGUGAAUCUGUCAUUUUUAUUUUCUCCUGGUUUUUCAUUUUUCCAGUUUUAAGUUCAGUUCUCCACAUUUCCACAUCAGUUCAUGGUGUGUGUAUUUUUAGUCCUCAUGAAAAUUCAUCAGCAUCUUAGUGUGAAGUUCUCUGAAUAUACACAUUUUUGUAUUCAAUAUUGCCUAUUUGGCAAGGCACUGUCCCCCUUUUCCAUUUUUUUUUGUUAUUUUCACUCAUCUGUGCAUUUCUAAUGAACAUUUUACCAUAGUCUAUGCAUUUUUGUGCCGAUUAUUUGGCUGGAGAACUGCAAUAUUUGAAAAAGUCCAAAUUUCAGAAGAGAACUGUGUUUUGGUCCUCAUAUUGUUUUGGAAAGUGAGAAAUAGAUAGGUUCGCCCUUACAUGCAAACACAAACAAAUUUCUCCUCCAUCCCAAUGAAUAAGAUGAAGAAGCUAAGCGAAUUUGGCGGAAGAAGCAGAGACAAAGAAUGCUGAAUGAAUCUGCUAGGACUGCUGGUUUAUUUCUGUACUUGGAACAGCAUUCCUCUUCCUCUCAUUUGCCAGAAAACAGCUUUCUUUCCAAAACUUAUCCAGUUUCCAUAUUAUGAUAUGCAGAAGCAGUACAAAAGAAAGCUAGCCACACAGGUCACAUCUCUGCAUAUUUGAGAAGCCACUCAGCAAAUAUAAGAAUUAAAUAUGAGGCAUUGAUAAACAUAUGAGGCAUAAUUCAGGCCACCUUGGUUCCAUGGGUGCCCUCUCUUAGUAUAAACAAGCUUCAGUGUGGUUUGUGGCAAACCUCAACUAUUUGCCUUCAGUCUUGGGCAAUUGUCAGACAGAUGCAAUAUGAGAUUAUUCAGGUUCUCUGCAUGCCCCUACCCCCAAGUGCUGCUGCACACACCACAUUCAAUUGUUUUUCACACACACACAAAUCCCAACCUUUCCCAAAGAAAACAAUAUAAAAAUCAGAUUUUGAGAUCUUGCUAUCUGUUUAUUCUGCUAUUGUUUCAUUGGAAAAGUUUUUAUGCUAGCAAAUCCAGGCAUGAGUGGUCCAUGUUAAUUAAAGUUUUUUUAAAAAAAUAAUAAUAAUCCAAUGUUACUAUAUAUUUAUUAGUAACAAACGAAAGAGGAAUGCACUGGCUGUAACAUGGAAGAAGGUCAAAGAGCUGGUAUGUACAGAUCAAAGGUAAGUUGGACACCUGGUACUUCUAAACUGGUUAUGUAUUUGUAGUAUAGUGCCAUACUAGGGUCAAACUAUGACUGUGGAUCAAAUGCCCACUCUGCUAUGAAGCUCUUAAUGGCCAAAGAUCCCAUUCCUGUUUCCCAGCCUAAACUAUAUUUCUGGAAUAAUAAAAUGGUUUGGGAGAGCGAGGCUAAAUCUGUAAGAAUAAAAUGAUGGAGAGUUGCAUAUUCACAAUCUUAAAUUUCUUGGAGAAAAGGAUAUCAUUGUCAUCAUAUUUUGAUCUAUUUCCUCUCUCAAAAAGCUCUUGGUCCUUUUCAUUCUCCCUGUCUGUCAACAUUAUCCACAUCCUGGCAAACAUAAUUCAUUCUAACUCUGACAAAAAUCAUUGGGGAGUGCUUCCCUUCCAAUCCACUUCAGCUUAGACCGUUCUUUCUACAUAAAAAGGUAAGGAGAGCCUGCCGAAUCAGGCCAACAGCCUAGGUAGUCCAGCAUCUUGUUCUCACAGUGGCCAACCAGAUGCCAUAUGUAGUUAAGGAUUAGAGAUGGUGGUGGGGCUUCAUGGAAUAAUCCUGUGUUCUUCUCAACUUCUUCGCAGCCCUCUUUUCAUGAAGAAUAAACACACUUUGGUGUAAACUAAUUUUCUCUCUCAUCAAGAAGGAACGCCAAGCCUUCAUCUUUUGCUGAUGCUGGCACAGUUUUGCAAUAAUAGCAAUUAAGAGUCAAGCCAAAAAAUAUCAGAAGAUAUUUGAAAAUAUUCCAAAUAUUCCCCCAUCCCUUUUCUCAGAAAAAGAAGGCCUCUUUGCAGAAUUCUCUCUUAAUAUUCGCCACCAUUUUUGAUGGUGGCUGCUCUUGGGAAAUUGGAGGAGAAAUUGUCCCCCUGAAGAAUUUCAUUGAAACCCACCCAGCCAAAAGAAAUUCUUUGCAUGUAGCUUUAGUUGCAAUACAAGCAGAUCACAAUGGCAUGAGAUACCACCGUAAUUUAAUAUGUGAUGGACUUUCUAAGGAGUGUCAUACUUAUGGGAAGUGGUAAAAAAACAACAGCCUCAAAACCAACCCACUUGCUGCCACAAAGGGAGAAGAAGGGGGGAAAUGUGGUAUGUGUUCUGUACCGGCUUUUGAAAGAACAAAGAAAAGUGGAAUAUCCCAAUGAAUCAGCAGUCCAUUGAGUGGUGAGUGACUCAACACUCUUUAUAACAGCAUUACUAGGCUAUUUAAAUCACAAUUCUUUCCAAGCAGUUAGCCAGAGCUCACAUCCAAGUAAGUGUGCAUUGCAACUCUAGGCAGACCCCCUUUUUCAUUGUGUCAAGACACUGGAUGAAGCCCAAAAUUCCAGCUCUCAAAGUUUGUAACAUAAGCUGUUAGAAAGCAUUUGUCAUGUACAUAACACAUAUAUGGAAAUGAACUGAGAAGGGUUUCUUGGGAUGCAAAAUGUGGAACUGGAGAUGUUCUGCUAGGGUGUGGUGCCUGGCAGUUUAGGGUCCAGUCAGCUAUUCCUGUCAGUGCCUGGCUUCAAUGCCAGUUUUUAAGACAUUGUUUCUCUCCACCCACAUGUAUCGAACACCCACACAGCAACAGCUAAAUUUCCCAGAAUGAAACUGGCAAAGAAUAUGUGAAGCAUUUGGCUUUCAUUCUAAGUAUGAGCUUUAGUAGGUUUUU